UACGGAGGGUGCAAGCGUUAAUCGGAAUUACUGGGCGUAAAGCGCACGCAGGUGGCUAAGUCAGUCGAUUGUGAAAGCCCUGGGCUUAACCUGGGAAUUGCAGUCGAUACUACUUAGCUAGAGUAUGGGAGAGGGCAGUGGAAUUCCCGGUGCAGCGGUGAAAUGCGUAGAUAUCGGGAGGAACAUCAGUGGCGAAGGGCGGGUCUCUGGACAGUUCCGUGACGCUGAGGCACGAAGGCCAGGGGAGCAAACGGGG
rnacentral:rRNA from 1 species